UUAAAGUUUUGAAGUUUUCGAGCCCAUCAUCAAUAAUUUCAUCAAAAUGCUAGCCAUCAGAAAGUCUCUCCAUGUAGGAUAUGACACAACCACGAGGCGCCGGACUGAUCCCCACUUCACCACGGCACGGAUCUUGCACCAUGCCGCCCUGGGCCUUGAAAACCUAGACUUGCGGACUCCGUAACCCGUGCGAGAUGAACAGAUCCCGAAAUCUGCCCCGCUGCUUGAUUCAAUGACGAAAGUAUGGUCCGGUGUCCACAUCAAAUUGCCAGGAAUCGGAGAUGGCACUUUGAAAAGCUCCUCAGGAGACAAAUGGAUGUUUGGCGCAAACAGUCCUUGUGAGUAACCGGGAAGAUGACUGCUUUCGCCAGCAUUAAAACUGGAUAAAAAGUCCUGACUUGCUAAGCUGUUUACUAUGGUCGGAUCAAAGAUUUUUGCUGUGAUAUGACUCUGUGGCCCCAGACAACCUAAUUGUUUGUCCUCUGUGACAUUCUGGCAGUGCGAUGUUGAAGCCAAUAGGUAAUUAAAUUCAGAAGUCACUUCUGGUCUAUCUGAAUAAAGAUGCGGUUCGGUUUCAG